UACGUAGGGUGCAGGCGUUAAUCGGAAUUACUGGGCGUAAAGCGUGCGCAGGCGGUUUCUUAAGUCAGACGUGAAAUCCCCCGGCUUAACCUGGGAACUGCGUCUGAUACUGGAAGGCUUGAGGAUGGGAGAGGGAUGUAGAAUUCCAGGUGUAGCGGUGAAAUGCGUAGAUAUCUGGAGGAAUACCGGUGGCGAAGGCGGCAUCCUGGACCAUUACUGACGCUGAGGCGCGAAAGCUAGGGGAGCAAACGGGG
rnacentral:rRNA from 1 species